rnacentral:rRNA from 1 species
AUUGAACGCUGGCGGCAUGCCUUACACAUGCAAGUCGAACGGUAACAGGUCUUCGGAUGCUGACGAGUGGCGAACGGGUGAGUAAUACAUCGGAACGUGCCUAGUAGUGGGGGAUAACUACUCGAAAGAGUGGCUAAUACCGCAUGAGAUCUACGGACGAAAGCAGGGGAUCGCAAGACCUUGUGCUACUAGAGCGGCCGAUGGCAGAUUAGGUGGUUGGUGGGAUAAAAGCUUACCAAGCCGACGAUCUGUAGCUAGUCUGAGAGGACGAUCAGCCACACUGGGACUGAGACACGGCCCAGACUCCUACGGGAGGCAGCAGUGGGGAAUUUUGGACAAUGGGCGAAAGCCUGAUCCAGCAAUGCCGCGUGCAGGAUGAAGGCCUUCGGGUUGUAAACUGCUUUUGUACGGAACGAAAAGCCCUGGGUUAAUACCCUGGGGUCAUGACGGUACCGUAAGAAUAAGCACCGGCUAACUACGUGCCAGCCGCCGCAGUAAUAC